UUAUGGCCAUAUCAUUUUCAAAACACUGUUUUUCUCAUCUGAACAUUGGUUAAGCAACAUUGAAACUGGUCAGUACUCAGAUGGGUGACCACUGGGGAAUACCAGGUGCUGUAAG